UACGGAGGGUGCAAGCAUUAAUCGGAUUUAUUGGGCGUAAAGGGCGCGUAGGCGGAGAUAAUUGUCAGAUGUGAAAUCCUGGGGCUCAACCUCAGAACGGCAUUUGAAACGUUAUUUCUAGAGGGUAGGAGGAGAAAACGGAAUUCCACAAGUAGCGGUGAAAUGCGUAGAGAUGUGGAAGAACACCGGUGGCGAAGGCGGUUUUCUAUCUUAUUCCUGACGCUGAGGCGCGAAAGCAAGGGGAUCAAACAGG
rnacentral:rRNA from 1 species